CUACGGGAGGCUCCAGUGAGGAAUAUUGCACAAUGGGGGGAACCAUGAUGCAGCAACGCCGCGUGGAGGAUGACGCAUUUCGGUGUGUAAACUCCUUUUAUAUGUCAAGAAAAUGACGGUAGCAUAUGAAUAAGCACCGGCUAACUCCGUGCCAGCAGCCGCGGUAAUAGGAGGGUGCAAGCGUGUACUCGGAAUCACUGGGCGUAAAGGACGCGUAGGCGGGUUGGAAAGUCAGGUGUGAAAUCCUACAGCUUAACUGUAGAACUGCACUUGAAACUUCUAAUCUAGAGUAUGGGAGGGGGAGAUGGAAUUAGUGGUGUAGGGGUAGAAUCCGUAGAUAUCACUAGGAAUACCUAAAGCGAAGGCGAUCUCCUGGAACAUUACUGACGCUAAGGCGUGAAAGCGUGGGGAGCAAACAGGAUUAGAUACCCCAGUAGUC
rnacentral:rRNA from 1 species